rnacentral:misc_RNA from 1 species
ACAAGAGACAUGAAAGGCCUGGCAUGAGAUACAUAAUAUCCUCAUGACUCCACCAAUAAUGAUACACUCAAAAAGAAUUAGGGAAAUACAGCUCAAUUAAAAGCACUUUGUUUUAAGGAUCAUUAAAAUACUCACACAUAAAGCAUAUUAAGUUUUUUUUCUUCAUAAAGUCCCUCUUAAUUUUGAUUAUGAUUUUAAAUAUCUCUGUCCUUAGUGCACUCUGGUGGUGGAACAGGGUACCUCGCUUUAUCAGUGCAAUAGUUAUAAACAGUGUAUUUUUGACGAACCCAACGAAGUCUCCUAUACUGUAAUGCAUCUAAAUCUUGGAAGGCCUUUUGAUCCCACCAUUUCAUGCCUUUAGUGUUACAAACUUGGACUUCUUGUGGCGUGGCAGCUUCACAUCCAUCCACGUGGAACGAUGUGUAUGACGCGGUGAAUGGGGCGUUGGCCCAAUUGGUUUUCUCAAGCCCACCUCUUGUGGCCCAAUCAUCUGCGUCCCAUAGACUCGAGUAUAUCUUCAUGGGCUGAUUGAAUGGAAAUUUCACACCAAGAUCUUUCGAAUUUUUGAAUGCUCUAAUUGGAACGUCGUCCACAAAGAUCACAAUGAGGUAUGUAUUCCAAAGAACAGAAUAAGAAUGGUAGCCCUUGGUUGGAUCAAACCAAAGAUAUAUUCUCUGUUCUCUGUUUCCUUUUCCUCCUGUGAAUACAUUUGUCUGCAAUAUGUAUGGCUGCCCAGUUCUGUUCCCCAAAAAUUCAAAAUCUAUCUCAUCGUGCUCUGCAUUAUUCGAUGACAGGUAAAAUGCAGUGACAACACCAGCUGAGUCUCCACCAACAAGCCUCAUUUUCAUACUGAAAUGCCCAAACAGAUAUGAUUUCUUUGACUGAAAUCCAGCUCCUGAAGAUCUGUCGAGAAUAAGAUCAGUAGUGGUACCACCAUUGAGGAACUUAAUAUGGUGACUAGCCCAACUUGGCUCAUAGUUUUUCCAAAAGGGCACAUCUACUGGCCUUCUAGGAUACCCACAAAAUACAACAAGUGACAAAUUAAUCAAAACAAUACUAAAUAAAACUCCUUUUAUGAUACCCAUGGUGAGAAAAACAAAUCCAAUCAGAGACCAGUGUUUGUGUAU